AAAACUGGGUGAAGAAAUUUCAUGGCUCAAUUAGCAAUUCCCUGCCUCUUCCAACUGAGGUUUUGGGAUUCAGAAGGGACUUCUGCAAAGAGCCCUGUGCUCCUCAUGUGCUGCAAAGAAAAUGGAGAGUUUGCAGAACAGUUCUUUCCCUUCGUUCAAAAAUUAGGUUCAAGUCGAGAACUACUGAGAGAUCACCAAGGUAAACAUAUGCACUGGAAGAAGCUCUAAUGCCCUGCAAUUAUGUAACAAACGGAUGGCAUACCAGGAACAGAGUGACCCCCAAA